AGAUGCUCCCCGGCCUGGCUCCGAGUAACUGCGAGCUGGAGGCGCGGCUGCUCUCUCGGGCGGACCUCAGCUCUGCGAACCCUGUGGCUGCCGGAGCACUGAGCGCCCUGCCCGGAGUCCCGCGGAGCCUGGCGAGGAGGGGUCGCUGCAUCCCGAGGGCCAGCCCUGAGCCGGGAGAUGAAACAGCUGUCAUGGAAAUAUUUUUUAAAUCUCAUACUGGUCAAACGGUGUAAACUUUGCUGGAAGGAACCUUACUCAGAGGGCCAAUCACCUGCUUCUCUAGAGUUCUCAAGCUCUCCUGUGAGCACCAGGUUGAGCUGCAGAAAGCCAGAACCAGCUCAGAAACUGAGAAAUGGACAUGAAGAUGCCCAGGAAACAUCUCUACAGCAUCCCUAACUGGGGGUUGAUCCAUUCAUUUCCAGACACAGAGAACAGAGUCACAUUCUGCUGUUUCCAUAUGUACCAUUUUAGUAAGACUUCUUGGGGCACAAGGCAGGAAGUUGGGGACAAUAUAUUUGUCUGCACCAAGGCAGCCUGAGAAGAGAGAAGUGAAUACUCCUGGGGUUAUUCUAUAUUAUUCACUUAAUAUUCUAAGUGAGUCCUCUAGGGGUACCUGAGACAUGGAGUAUGAAAGUACACAUUCACAAAAGUACCAGCUUUAAAACUAGAUUAUCUCUACUAUUCAAAAACACCAAGGAAAGGCCACACAAUGGAGACAAAGUGCAUCUGAGAUCUAGCAAAUUUCCCUGUUGGCCACAUACUGAUAAUGAUGUAUUAAAAUCAAUUCUAUACUGUGGGGUACUUAUUUGACAUUAAUAGGUACCAUGGUGGUUUAACAUAGUUGCUGCCCAGAGAAAACGCCGCACACUCACCUACACUAAAAUGAAGUCUGAGUCAGCUGCCUCCCCUCCGCCAUCCCUUCCAAAGCCAAUGGUUGAAAGUCACAGAAGUCCCUCUGCUGCCACCUAGUGACGACAAUGUGAAUACAACUACACAGCCUCCUGGGAAAGAAGUUUUGAACCACGUUUGCUUCUAAAGGAAGCCUGUAAUUACCUCUGAGUGCUCUAUUUUGGCUACAAUUUAAAAACAUAUAUAUUUUAAAACUCUAUAAACUCUUAUGCAUAUCCCUUUUUAAGAAUCUGACCUGUAAUGGAUGUAGCCUCACUUUCAAGAACCUAAAAGCUAUGCCCCCAAUUCAGGGAGUAGAACAGACAGGCUUAAGAACAGUGCCUAAAAAUGCCACUAAAUUUAUCUUUAAAAUGCCUGUGGUUCCUUAGCACUUGAAUUCCGUUAUGCCCCUGGGUAUAGUCACCUGGAUGUUAGGGGCUGUCAAAAUUCAGCCCUCAGUUGGUGAUCAGUAGGUUUUCCCUUUAAGUGGUUUCUGAAAGGAUUUUUUUUAAAAAUCUUGAAAUUCUCAUGUCUGGAUGAUGUUUCCAGUUUUGUGGAAGAAUAAAAGAAAAGGGACAUGAAAUUCUGGCUCCCUGGGGGCAGUGGCUGUGUCUUAUUAAUCUCUGUGCCCAUUGUACCAACACCGGUCAGUCACAGCAUGUACUCAACCAAUGCUGAUGAAUGCAGAGGGGCGAGGGGCUGGCACGCUCUUGACCCCUUAUAGGGGCUGCGUCGAUGGCCAGGGUUCAAUGGGAACUUUCUGGUACAGUCUUGCUCUGCCAAUCUUUCAAAUUAAGUGCAGCACAAUUGGAAGCCUCACAUUCUCAUAGACGGGUUGAGGAGGGCAUUAGGGGCAGAAAGGCUCACAUAAGGCCUGAGCGUGAGGUUUCCUGCCCAGCACUGCUGUGCCAUUGCAGCCCACCUUCUUCUCACCUUUCCUUCCACACCACGGCGCGGCAGGUGCAGAAACCGUGCUGGGAUUGAGGCCCUAGAGGCUGACUACAGGUCUUGGGGGCAAAACAUCUGGACACACAGCUGAAGAUGAGCCAAGUAUAUUAGUCAGGGUUCUCUAGAGAAACAGAACCAACAAGAUAGAGAGAUGCAGAGAGACAGAGGGACAGACAGACAGAUUUAAGUAACUGACCCAUAAAAUCUUGGAGGCUUGGCAAGUCCAAAAUCUGCAAGAUGGAAGUGGGCUGGCACAUUGGAGACUCAAGGAAGAGUUGCACGUUGAGUUCAAAGGCCGGCUGCUGGCAGAAUUCCUUUCUGCUCAGGUGAAGUCGGUCUCUGUUCUAUUAAGACCUUCAACUGAUUGGAUGAGGUCCACCCAUAUUAUGAAGGGUCAUUUGCUUUACUCAACAUCUACUCAUCUAAAUAUUAAUCUCAUUGAAAAAAAACCCCAGAAACAUCCAGAAUAGCAUUUGACCAAAUGUUUGGACAAUGCAGCCUAGCCACAUUAACACACAAAAUUAACUGUCACAGCAAGACACCAGGGAAGCAUUGGAAGAUGUUAGCGGCUGUCAUUGAAAUGGGUGCCGUCAGGUGGACGGCAGCCAUCCAUCGGGCAAGAGCGGGGCAGCUGGAAGGGCCCUCCCCUCCCGUUUGCUUUCUGCUCUUCACAGCUCACGGAUAGAGGAAUUUUCUCAGCACAUUUCCCAGGAGGAGUUUGGCACCACCAUUUCUUGAAAACAGAUGUCUGCAGGGAUGUGUGUGUGCCUGUGAAUAUGAAGUCCAGAGCCUGGGACUGAGAACAGCAAGGGGAACAGGUGGCCACAGGGGAGUUGCCAGAUUGCUGACUUAAGAUGUGCUCCCAGGGCUGCACUGGUGUCGGUCGUGAGAGCGAUCACGGUUUGUGCAACGUCUGAACUUUCUAUCAACUUAUGGUUUAAUCAAUUUGCUGUUUACUCCAGCUAUUUGCAACCUCUCCUCAGUUACUUGGUGUUCAGCAGUGUAAUAUAUCUUCAUGUGUGAAUAUAAAUAUACUAUUUAGUGGAAACUAAAAGGAAUUGUGGAGGAAGAAUUUUUUUGGAUAAUUUUAUGUUUUCAUAAUGUAAAAAUUAAAGAUAUUUGAAGAGUUGAGUAUGUCAGUUUUGGGGAUGCAAGAGAAUGACUUCGGGACUACCAUAAUAUUUAAAAUCAUCACUACUCUUUCUUUCCACCUAAGUCUCAUAGCAAAAGAGGAAAUUUACUUCAGUCUCUUUCUGUAGCAGAACAUUAUCGUGCUGUAUUCCUGUGUUCACUUAUCUGCGCUGGAUUGUGAGUCCUUACAGAGAGAAAUUGUUAUGUGCUAUGUUCCCAACACCUGCACAUUAUAGGUGGUCACUAAGUGCUUGAUGAAUAAAUGAAUGAGGGAA
rnacentral:lncRNA from 1 species